rnacentral:rRNA from 1 species
CCCUUAGAUGCUCUGGGCCGCACGCGCGCUACACUGGUCGAUGCAACGAGUUUCUUUCCUUGGCCGACAGGCCUGGGCAAUCUUUGAACAUCGAUCGUGAUCGGGAUAGAUUCUUGUAAUUUUUGAUCUUAAACGAGGAAUUCCUAGUAAACGCAAGUCAUCAGCUUGCAUUGAUUACGUCCCUGCUCUUUGUACACACCGCCCGUCGCACCUACCGAUUGAAUGGUCCGGUGAAAUCUCCGGACUGGCGUGAGUCGGAGCAAUCUGACAAACACCGGAAAGUUGAUUAAACCUUACCAUUUAGAGGAAGGUGAANUCGUANCA